rnacentral:lncRNA from 1 species
AAGGUGCCCAUAGGGUGGUUAUAGCGUACACAAGGUACCCCAUAGGCUACCCCAUAGGGUGCCCCACAGGGUGCCCCAUAGGAUAUCCCAUAGGAUACCAUAAAUACCCCAUAGGAUACCCCAUAGGAUACCCCAUAGGGUACCCCAUAGGAUACCCCAUAGGGUGGCUAUAGGGUGGCUAUAGGAUACCCCAUAGGGUGGCUAUAGGAUACCCCAUAGGAUACCCCAUAGGAUACCCCAUAGGGCGGCUAUAGGGUACCC